UACGUAGGGGGCAAGCGUUGUCCGGAUUUAUUGGGCGUAAAGAGCGUGUAGGCGGUUAGGUAGGUCCGUUGUGAAAACUCGAGGCUCAACCUCGAGACGCCGAUGGAAACCAUCUGACUAGAGUCCGGAAGAGGAGAGUGGAAUUCCUGGUGUAGCGGUGAAAUGUGCAGAUAUCAGGAAGAACACCCGUGGCUAAGGCGGCUCUCUAGUACGUGACUGACGCUGAGGAGCGAAAGCGUGGGGAGCGAACAGG
rnacentral:rRNA from 1 species